rnacentral:rRNA from 1 species
CCUACGGGCGGCAGCAGUGGGGAAUAUUGGGCAAUGGAGGAAACUCUGACCCAGCAACGCCGCGUGAAGGAUGAAGGUUUUCGGAUUGUAAACUUCUGUCGCGAGGGAUGAAGAAUGACGGUACCUCGUAAGAAAGCCCCGGCAAACUACGUGCCAGCAGCCGCGGUAAUACGUAGGGGGCGAGCGUUGUCCGGAUUUACUGGGUGUAAAGGGCGUGUAGCCGGGUUGACAAGUCAGAUGUGAAAUCCUGCGGCUUAACCGCAGAACUGCAUUUGAAACUGUUGAUCUUGAGUACUGGAGAGGCAGAUGGAAUUCCUAGUGUAGCGGUGAAAUGCGUAGAUAUUAGGAGGAACACCAGUGGCGAAGGCGGUCUGCUGGACAGCAACUGACGGUGAGGCGCGAAAGCGUGGGGAGCAAACAGGAUUAGAUACCCGAGUAGUC